CCUCCUCCCCCGAUCCCUAGUAAGCUGAUAAUCUUGAUUAGGUGGCUGAUCAUUAAAAUGUUCAACUUCAACUGGUUCAAUGUUAUCUUGAAGUUCAGUCACCUCUUCAGGUUCAGGUUCAGGUUCAAUUUCAAUUUCAUUUUCAUUUUCAUGAUGUAUAGGGUCAUUUUCGUCAUUCCCAGGUGUAGGUGAAUUUAGCCUAGUCAGCUUCACCUCAGUCUGAAUACUCUUCUCAGUUUCAGAUUUGUUAGUUUCUUCG
rnacentral:lncRNA from 1 species